CCUGGUGAACGGCGUGCCGGUCCGCGACUGCUGGCUGCAACCCGGCGACCAGGUCGCGUUCGAUGCGCGGCACCGGUUC
rnacentral:tRNA from 1 species